rnacentral:rRNA from 1 species
GGUGAAAAGCACCCCGGAAGGGGAGUGAAAUAGAACCUGAAACCGUGUGCUUACAAGUAGUCAGAGCCCGUUAAUGGGUGAUGGCGUGCCUUUUGUAGAAUGAACCGGCGAGUUACGAUUUGAUGCAAGGUUAAGCAGUAAAUGUGGAGCCGUAGCGAAAGCGAGUCUGAAUAGGGCGUUUAGUAUUUGGUCGUAGACCCGAAACCAGGUGAUCU